CUAAAAAUCUAGCCUUUCCCCCCCCCCCCUUUUUUUAACCUAUAUUAAAAUAUUUUCACAGCCCAGUAAAGAGGAUUAAAAAACUUCUAAGAGCUACUAACUUGUACCGCAAGGGAUAAAUGAAAUAACAAUGAAACAACAUUAAGCACUGAAAAGUAGAGACUCAUUCUCGUACCUUUUGCAUCAUGGUUUAGCUAGUCUAAUUAGGCAAAAAGAGCUUAAGUCUAACUUCCCGAAACUAAGUGAGCUAUCUCAGGGCUGCUUACCGAGCUAACCCGUCUAUGUUGCAAAAUAGUGGGAUGACCCUGAGAUAGGGGUGACAGACCUAACGAACUUAGUUAUAGCUGGUUUCUCAAGAAAAGAAUUUUAGUCCAACCUAAAGCAAGCACAAUUCACAUUAACACUCCCCUUUAGAGCAACUCAAAUGAGGUACAGCCCAUUUGAUACAGGAUACAACCUUCACCAACGGGUAACAUUUAAUUUACACCCACAAGUAGGCCCAAAAGCAGCCACCUUUCAAAAAGCGUUAAAGCUUAACCCCGUUUAAAAAAAUUUAAAAACUUAUAUCGACCCCUUUAUUUAUAUUGAGAACUUCCAUAACUCUAUGGAACCUUUUAUGCUAAAACUAGUAACAAGAGGAACUCCCUCUCCCCAAUGCAAGCCUAUGCCAGCAAGAACCCACCACUGACAAUUAACACAUGACAGUAGCAACUUCCCCAGAAAACCCUACUUACCCCCCCCCAUGUCAACCUGACACCAGAGCAUUCCAGGAAGAUUAAAAGAAAAAGAAGGAAUUCAGCAAACACUAGUCCCGCCUGUUUACCAAAAACAUCGCCUCUUGCAACCAUAAGAGGUCCAGCCUGCCCAGUGAUUUUAUUUAACGGCCGCGGUAUUCUAACCGUGCAAAGGUAGCGUAAUCACUUGUUUUCUAAAUAAAGACCAGUAUGAAAGGCAUCACGAAGACCUGACUGUCUCCUUUCUCCAAUCAGUGAACCUAAUCUCCCCGUGAAGAAGCGGGGAUCCCCCUAUAAGACGAGAAGACCCCGUGGAGCUUAAAACAUCAUAACAACUGCCCCGCCUUAAGCUACCCUGGUACUUACCUAAACAGCACCCCUGAUUAUGUGUUUUCGGUUGGGGUGACCGCGGAGAAAAUCUCAUCCUCCACGAUGAAAGGGACUUCCCCCUAAACACCAAGUUACAACUUUAUGCAUCAAAAAAUUGACAUUCAUUGACCCAAUAAAUUGAUUAACGAACCAAGUUACCCCGGGGAUAACAGCACAAUCCACUUCAAGAGCCCCUAUCGACAAGUGGGCUUAUGACCUCGAUGUUGGAUCGGGUUAUCCUGGUGGUGCAGCCGCUACUAAAGGUUCGUUUGUUCAACGAUUAAAAUCCCACGUGAUCUGAGUUCAGACCGGAGUAAUCCAGGUCAGUUUCUAUCUAUAAAGAGCUAAUUUCAGUACGAAAGGACCUAGUUAGCAUGGUCUAUGCCACCGCAAACCACAGUUGAUUAUUCCAGAUUCCCUCUCAAAAAACAAUCAACCUCCUC
rnacentral:rRNA from 1 species